UACGGGGGGGGCAAGCGUUGUUCGGAAUUACUGGGCGUAAAGGGCUCGUAGGGGGCCAACUAAGUCAGACGUGAAAUCCCUCAGCUUAACUGGGGAACUGCGUCUGAUACUGGAUGGCUUGAGUUCGGGAGAGGGAUGCGGAAUUCCAGGUGUAGCGGUGAAAUGCGUAGAUAUCUGGAGGAACACCGGUGGCGAAGGCGGCAUCCUGGACCGACACUGACACUGAGGAGCGAAAGCCAGGGGAGCAAACGGG
rnacentral:rRNA from 1 species